UCUACGGUAUUGUGAUUUCCAGCAGAAGAUCUUAACUCGAUUUAAUAUCGAGCUUCAAAAGGAAGCUCGAUAUUAAAUGUUUCAGAAUGCAAAAAGGCAGAUUGCAGUUUUAUCAAAACAGUACCUCAAAAGCCGGGUUAAAAAUAUUUUGGCAAUCACUAAAAACACCUAUAGCAGUUAACAAACUCAGAAUUACAAAUUUCAAAGAGCAUUAUGUAGAGCUUUUACAUUUCUCCUUACCUGAGGCUGGUCUAACUGGUUCUGCUAAAACACUGACAGCAAGGUCCAACUUAUAGUAAAACCACAAUGGGAGGUCCUUGUAAUUGUGAGCUGAAAAGUUGGUAUGAAAAGUUGGUAUGAUCCGGUCUACUUCUGUUUUGUUGCGGUAAAACUUAAUUUAUCCAAGAAGUUUAUUUCUAAAGUCCUCUUCUUGUACAAGAUCAAAAUCAUCCUAUCAUGUCAGCUACUGAAGAACAGCACAGGUGUACUAAUAUUUACAAGUCAAAUAGUGAGAAGGCUCUUCUCAACAGGUUGCUGUGAGAGUUGAGAUCCUGUUUAAACCCGAAGCUGCAGAUGUCAGCAGCCAAUCUGCACACAGAGCUCAUAAGCAUAAGUGAUAUAAAGACAUGACAUAAAAGCCAUAUUUCGAUAUGAAAUCUGGAGGGUGUGAUGGUGGCACAGGGGCAAAGCACAACCCAUGUUUGGAUGCCUUAUGCAUGUCCUUGAUGCAUGUCUUCGCCCGCACCCAUUACCCACUUUCCUGACUGACCACUCUCAAAUUGAGGCCACUAGAGCCAAUAAACCUUAAAAACUGGGAAAAUAUAUAUAUAUAUUUUAUUGUCACUAGUAAAGAUCUGUAUAUUAUGAAUGAAAACCUGAAUAAGUGGGAGUGGCCUCUAGGAGUCAUGAGGAAUGUGAUGGGUUAUCAUAUUUGCCAGUCGUGAUAGAACAGAUUUAGCUUUUCUGUUCUAUUAAUUCAUGUGUUAAAAAAAUGUAAGACCUUCAUUUAGCUUCUAAACAUAUGUUGCUUUUGACAAAGUAAUGAAGAAAUUACCUUUUUCACCGCCGUUUCAAGUGUCCAAUGUGACAGUACUUCAAUCAUCUUUUCCAUGCUUUUUCUGUAGACUGCAUAAUUAUGGUUUAACGACUGUGUCACAUCUACCUUUUUUAUAGUAAUAAUGACAAUAAUAAUAAACUUUAUUUCGACGAGGCAAUGUACAGUUCUACGUUUUUAAGAAAUUCAUUUGUUCUAGGGUGCUAAAGUGUCUAAAACAUUUGUAAUUACUAUUUCUGUAUCAUAACUGCUUCAUUAGAAAUGUAUGGCCAUGUAAAUUAUAUGUUUUCAGCAACAGGAAUUUAAGAAAAUGCAGUGCCUGGUUUAAAAGGCAUAGCAGAAAACCAGUAAUACAAGCUGUUAUUAAAAAUAUAUAUUUAUUUAAAAGUGCAUUUUGUUAAGAUCCUGUUCAUUUUUCAUCUGUAAAAAGAGAAGUCUUGCCAUAUUCCUCUAUAUGAAAUAGCGUGUUUUGACGUUCCUUAUCAGUUCAAUAGGGUAUAUGCCACGAGAGGUGGUGACGUAUUUCCGUUUGAAUUUAUUCCACAUAGGUUGGUUCCGGGUCCUGCUUGCUCCUAUUGUUCUUGGCCGAAGCUGCAAGAUCUGUACCAUGAAAAAGACGCAAAACUUAAAAUAUCUGUGAGCUACUGGUACAACAAUCGAGUUUUGUGGUGUGCCGUUGUGUCCAGCCGGCACCAUCCAGUGCUUAGUUUUUUUUCAUUUUCUAGCUGAUCAAGGUGACAGUGGACUGUAGCCAAAACUUAGCCACUAAAGCUAACACGCGGUUUGUAGCUGCCUGCUAUUUCAAAGCUUGAGGAUAUUGAAGAUCCAGCGUCAGAAAGGGGAAGAUGGAGGAUGUAAAGGGAGUUGUACUUGUUUCGUUUAGUGGAAUAAUUUGUUGGAGGAAAAUAAUGCCGGAGGAAAUCCACUGCAACGGGAACAGGCUGAGAACAGAGGCAGCGAUUCGGCACAAGUUAAGUCAAUACGUGUGUUGAUGCAUUUGUGUUAUACGGAGUAUGAAAUUAUUUUUAGGCAACUCCUUAGUUUUUGUUUAUGUGACAAUUAUAUAAAAUACAUUUAACAUGCAGUCGGAGCGAUACCGAGCACGGUCAUUUAAAAACAGCCGAGAGCGUAGUCAGAUUAAGGUCCAAAACCUUCGCUUUACAGCCGUUUAAGUGGGACCGACCCACAUAAAAAAAAACCUCAGAACAAAUGGUGCAAAUCACGUAUUUCCCGAAUCCCGAAUAUAUUAUUAUCUAUCUUUGCUGUUUCAUAAUUAUAAUCCACGUUAGAGUGAAUUUUUCCACUUGGCUGUUAUAAUCUGUUCUUGCGUUACACAACGUAAUUUCUCUUUUUUCCCCUCUGAGAUUCUGCUUAGAAAAUGAGGUUAUGAAGUUACAUCCUCCUGCUGCUUUUUGUUUUUAAAAUGGUAAAUGUAGGUUCGCCUCAAUUUUUAUAAACUAAUGUCUCUUAUAUGCAUCAUUUUUGUAUGCAUAUUUGUGCGUGGUGGCUGUUCUGCAAUCAGCAGGUGCUGCUGGUUUGUCAGGUGCCGCCAGUGCAGCUGUAGCCGGUGCAGGAGCCGCAGCAGGGUGGGUGGCCAGCUUCUUCGGCUGAAAAUCGCCUACAAAAUACAAAAUAUAUUGUUUAUGUGUAGGGGAGUGUAGGUAUGUGCUAAUACUCCUGAAGCAUUGUUUUGCAUUAUGACCUAUAUAUUAAAAAAAAGUUGCUUGAGUGGAAUUUGAAACAAGACAAAGUAUUUCUCUACUUCACAAAAUGUAAACAGUCUGUUACAAAAUGAAAGAGCAAUAAAAGUCUUAUUGAAAGUU